AACGAACGCUGGCGGCAUGCCUAACACAUGCAAGUCGAACGAGACCUUCGGGUCUAGUGGCGCACGGGUGCGUAACGCGUGGGAACCUGCCCUUAGGUUCGGAAUAACUCCCCGAAAGGGGUGCUAAUACCGGAUAAUGUCUUCGGACCAAAGAUUUAUCGACUUUGGAUGGGCCCGCGUUGGAUUAGCUAGUUGGUAGGGUAAAAGCCUACCAAGGCGACGAUCCAUAGCUGGUCUGAGAGGAUGAUCAGCCACACUGGGACUGAGACACGGCCCAGACUCCUACGGGAGGCAGCAGUGGGUAAUAUUGGACAAUGGGCGAAAGCCUGAUCCAGCAAUGCCGCGUGAGUGAUGAAGGCCUUAGGGUUGUAAAGCGCUUUUACCCGGGAUGAUAAUGACAGUACCGGGAGAAUAAGCUCCGGCUAACUCCGUG
rnacentral:rRNA from 1 species